rnacentral:rRNA from 1 species
GAGACUCUGUGCGCGUGCAUAUCAAUAAGCGGAGGAAAAGGAAACUAACAAGGAUUCCCCUAGUAACGGCGAGUGAAGCGGGAGAGCUCAAAUUUGAAAUCUUAAAGGGUUUCCCUUUACGAAUUGUAGUUUAAAGAAGUGUUUUCUGUUGGAGUUUCGGUAAAAGUUCUUUGGAAUAGGACAUCAUAGAGGGUGAGAAUCCCGUAUUUGACCGUUACUUUCCAGCUGUGUGAUACACUUUCAAAGAGUCGGAUUGUUUGGGAAUGCAGUCCAAGAUGGGUGGUAAAUUUCAUCUAAAGCUAAAUAUUGGCGAGAGACCGAUAGCGAACAAGUACCGUGAGGGAAAGAUGAAAAGAGCUUUGAAAAGAGAGUUAAACAGUACGUGAAAUUGUCAAAAGGGAAGCGUUUGACACCAGUGUUGUUUUUCCGAAAAUCAAUUACGAAUGUUUUGUUUUUAAGAAGUUAUGACUUCAUCGGCUUGCUUCCUUCUUUAUGAAACUUUCUUAAUGCACUUUUCGGUUAACAAGUCAACAUCAAUUUCUUUUGUUGUAAAAGGGUAUGAGGAAGGUGGCUUUCUUUUCGGAGAAAGUGUUUAUAACCUUGUGCCUCUGCAAUCGGAGAGAUUGAGGUCUGCAGCGUAGAUCCGUCGGGGUUAGAUACGUUUGUGCUAAGUUAUAGCUUUUCAUAGACAACUUGUUGACUAUGUUUAGUCUUGUAGCUUACUCGCUGAUGCUAUUUUACCUACGCUUAGGAUGUUGACAGCAGUAUAGACUGU